AUACGGAGGAUGCAAGCGUUAUCCGGAUUUAUUGGGUUUAAAGGGUGCGUAGGCGGUUUGCUAAGCGGGAGGUGAAAUGCCGGCGCUCAACGUCGGAAGUGCCUCCCGAACUGGUGGACUUGAAUGACUCUGCCGUGGGAGGAAUGUGUAGUGUAGCGGUGAAAUGCUUAGAGAUUACACAGAACACCGAUUGCGAAGGCAUCUCACGAAGGGUUGACAGUCGCUGAGGCUCGAAAGCGUGGGGAUCACACAGUAUUAGAUGCCAUGGUAGUGCACGCUGUAAACGAUGAUGGCUAACCGCUGGUUUAUUCGGAUCAGUGGCCAAGCGAAAGCGAUAAGGCAUCCAGCUGGGGAGUACGACCGCAAGGUUGAAACUCAAAUGCAUUGACGGGG
rnacentral:rRNA from 1 species